CAAACAGGCAGUAGGCCAGAUUUGGCCCAUGGGUUACUACCAACCUCUGCUUUGCCAGCCUCUGCUUUAAAAGGAUGGGGCAUGGGGCCACCUGGCUGGCUCAGCCAGGGGAGUGUGCGACCCUUGAUUUGGGGGUUGUGAGUUCGAGCUCCAUGUUGGGUGUAGAGAUUACUUAAAAUAAAUAAGUAACUAAAAAACAAUAAAUAAAAGGAUGGGGGCACGCCAUCCCUUUCUCUCUAGUUGGAAUGUGGGUGUGUCGGCUGGAGCUGGAGUAACUACUUUGGAUCACUGUGUUCAAGUCCUUUGUUGAAAUGGUGGAGAAAAAUGGUAGGAGUUUGAGACCCUCACUCUGUGGAGCCACGUACCCGCUCUGCACUGCUCAUGGUGACUGUUGCGUUUGGGGAGGACUAAGCGCAUCUUUUGUCCAUCACUUGUGGUUUGGGUCUUGCAAUGACCACCAUAUUAAUAGCUUAGCUCCCUUAUUUCAGAGACCCUAAGGGGCCAUCAGAUACACAUUGCGCAAUCAUUUCACGUGUCACUAAGAAACAAGACCACCGCUGUGCCUCUUAUUAAGCUUUGUUUCUCCACUCCAGAUCCACUCUGCCAUAUUGUGCUUUGUGAUGACAGCACUGGAGACCUGUGAACUACACCGCGCCUUUGCCUGCUGGCCAGCUUCCGUCACUCAGGGUCAUUGGAGGGAAACAAGAAGGCGGGAGGAGGGAGAAGGGACUUGCUCCUUCCUCUUUGCUUCCCGUUCUUACUACUGUCCGGAGCACUGGCUCCUCUCCCAGGCGGCAGCCCGUGGUUCCAGCCUCCAGCUUUCCUCGGGACCUCAGAACUGGAUUCAUCAUAUGCCUCGAGAGGAACUUAAGUUACCUGCAUAGAAGCUUCGCAGAUCGGUGUCCAAACAAUUCUCCAGGAAGCGCCUCAGAGGUGCUUCCCGUGCUCCCUCACGCUCGGCUCGCCGGCCACACUCUGCGCUGGGCAGCGGCCGGCCUGUUCAACAGCCAUCUCCGUGUUUGCAAGACGCGCAUGGACUGAGGGCCACGGUGAUUGCUUCAGAACUGCUCUUUCUCGGAGGAGACUCGGAGGCCCCACGAGAAGGGUCUGGGGGCUCCUCUAGUCCAACUUCCCACCUGGUGUGGACUCCCUUCAGUGGUGUCCCGGGCAGACGGCCAUUAAGUCGCAACUCGACCAUCCUCGUACUGGGAAACUCGAUGUCCAGGGGCGACCCAUUCCACUGCUGGACAGCUUGGAGUAGGAGUCACUCCUGAUUCUGAAUAGAAGCCUGCGCUCCUGUCACUUUGACCUGCUGAUACUACCUCUGCCUGUUUUUAGAAUACCUCUUCCCAGGGACAGCUCUUUAGUUUCCGGAGCAGGAAUCACAUUCCCCAGCGGGGAGGGGGGUUCAUCUGUUGGUAGCUACUCUGUGCCAAGCACCGUGCUGACAUUCUGUGUUUUCAGUUUUUGUUUUAAAGACUUCAUCUUAUUAAAAAAAAUUUCUUUUUUUUACAUUUACUUAUUUUUGAGAGACACAGAGAGACAGAGCAUGAGCAGGGGAAGGGCAGGCAGAGAGAGACACACACACACACACACACACACAGAAUCGGAAGCAGGCUCCAGGCUUUGAGCUGUCAGCACAGAGCCCGAUGCAGGGACUGAACCCAUGAACUGUGGGAUCAUGACCUGACCUGAAGUCGGAUGCUUAACUGACUGAGCCACUUGGGUGCCCCAAGACUUUGUUUAAAAAAAUUUUUUUUUAAUGUUUCUUUUUUGAGAGAGAGACAAAGCGUGGGCAGGGGAGGGGCAGAGAGAGUAAGAGAGAGCGAGAGAUUGAGACAGACACAGAAUCUGAAACAGGCUCCAGGCUCUGAGCUGUCAGCACAGAGCCCGACACAGGGCUCGAACUCAUGAGGUGUGAGAUCAUUGGCCUGAAUCGAAGUCGGACGCUUAACCGACUGAGACACCCAAGCGCCCCUAUUUUAUUUUUAAGUAAUCUCUACGCUCAGUGUGGGGGCUUGAACUCACAACCUCAAGAUCAAGAGUCGGAUGCUCUACUGAGUGAGCCAGCCGGGUGCCCCACAUUCUGUGUUUUUUUUUUUUAAUCUCGUUUAUCUUCACACAAUUCUAUUGUUAGCCCCACUUUACAAAUGAGGAAGCGGAGGCUCAGAGAGUGUAGGUAACGGUCCAAGGCCACACAGCAAGGAAAGGGCAGCCUGGGAACGCUGCCCGGCUUUUCCGCGCUUUUUAUGCUGCACGCCUGUGUUAAUCACGUCCAGCUCCUUUCCCUGCGCCCUCUGAGAGUCAGUCUCCAGGUCCCCUCCCCCUCCACGCUCAGCCUCCCUUGGAGACACAGGGCAAGACCGUGGCGCCUGGAGGAGAUCACGACACUCCACGUGUGGCCUGCCCAGGUCACGGUACGCGCCAGAACCUGGGAACGUCGUUUCUCAUUCGUGGACCCUGUGCCUCAUUUGCUCUGUGGGCGGAGUCCCCAGUGCCCUCCCCGCCCCGUGUCCUCCUGUCAGCUGAAAGUGUUGUGUGAGGGCUUAGUGGUGACAAGGUAACGGGCAGCGGGGGCCGAGCGGUGUCGGGGGACAGCAGAGGUCUGGCUCACCAGUGGGGAGGUGCCUGUAGUAGUAGAUGACGGGGUGGAGGAAGUUGGACUGCCACGCGUCUUCCGUGUGCCCCACGGACCGGUCAUGAAAGAAGACGUCCUUGUCGGGCCCAGAGAAAUUUCUGCCAUACUCCAUGUUGAUGACGAAGAGCCCGUGCCUGGCCCUCCUUCCUGUGAUGGUCUCCAGCUGGGCCAGCAUCUGCACGGGGAGCUCCUCCAGCUGAACCCCGACUUACACGGGAGACAGAUUCCAGAAAACUCUGAGUAACCUGAAAGGGAAGGCCACCGGCCCCUGGAGGGUGCUGUGCAGAGAUGCACGGGUGUGACUCAGGUUUUAAGAGGACCGCCCGGCCGCUGUGUUGAAAGCAGACCACGGGCAGAGGUGCGAGGCUGUAGGUGGUUCAGGCUUCACUUAGGAGGGAACCACUGGGCCACUCCAUGCCGGGGAUAGGCAGAGAAGAGCUCUGACCCGUGAAUGGUGGAGCUGGGCUACUCACUCCUUCAGCAGGACGACAUCGGCCAGCACGCCGAACAUCUGGUAGAG